UCAGACCCGUGGCAAAUAGCUCAGUAGCACGUGGCCAAUCUACCCUCUGGAACGGCAUACCCUCGGGAAACUGAGGUUAAUUCCGUACACCGCUCUCAACCUGGAAUGGUGGGAGCUCGAAACGCUCCGGCGCCGGAGGAUGAGGCUGCGGCCGAUUAGGUUGACGGUGGGGUAAUGGCCCACCGUGCCGAUAAUCGGUCUGGGUCAUGAGAGUGAGAACCCAGAGACGGAAUCUGAGACAAGAUUCCGGGCCCUACGGGGCGCAGCAGGCGCGAAACCUUUACACUGCACGCCAGUGCGAUAAGGGGACCCCAAGUGCGCAGGCAUAGUGCCUGCGCUUUUCUGGACUGUAGGGCGGUCCAGGAACAAGGGCUGGGCAAGACCGGUGCCAGCCGCCGCGGUAAUACCGGCAGCCCAAGUGAUGGCCGCUGUUAUUGGGCCUAAAGCGUCCGUAGCUGGCCGCACAAGUCCGUCGGGAAAUCCGCCCGCUCAACGGGCGGCCGUCCGGCGGAACCUGUGUGGCUUGGGACCGGGAGGCCUGAGGGGUACGAUCGGGGUAGGAGUGAAAUCCCAUAAUCCCGCACGGACCACCGAUGGCGAAAGCACUUCGAGAAAACGGAUCCGACAGUGAGGGACGAAAGCCAGGGUCUCCAACCGGAUUAGAUACCCGGGUAGUCCUGGCCGUAAACGAUGCUUGUUAGGUGUGACUCCCACUAUGAGUGGGUGUUGUGCCGUAGGGAAGCCG
rnacentral:rRNA from 1 species